ensembl:snoRNA
AUGGCCCUGAAUCAAGGCUGGCUGCUUGUUGUAGCUGUGAGUUUCAAACAGGAGCCUAAAUCAAAUUCUUCUUGUGGUCUGUUGGCUGUGCCAUUGCAAUAGGGCCCAUCCUAUUCAGUUGGAAGAAACAAGC